rnacentral:tRNA from 1 species
GUCCCCGGAUGCGGGGCCGAACACACCCAGCAUCUGACUACGGAUCAGAAGGUUGGGGGUUCGAAUCCCUCCGGGCGCAC